rnacentral:rRNA from 1 species
CCUACGGGGGGCAGCAGUCGAGAAUUUUUCUCAAUGGGCGCAAGCCUGAAGGAGCGACGCCGCGUGGGGGAUGAAGGGUUUCGAUCCGUAAACCCCUGUCAUUUGCGAACAAACCCUGAGGUUUAAGAGAUAUCAGGCUGAUUGUAGCGAAAGAGGAAGGGACGGCUAACUCUGUGCCAGCAGCCGCGGUAAUACAGAGGUCCCAAGCGUUGUUCGGAUUCACUGGGCGUAAAGGGUGCGUAGGUGGCUUGGUAAGUUCGAUGUGAAAUCUCCGGGCUUAACCCGGAAAUGGCAUUGAAUACUAUUGAGCUGGAGGUUUGGAGGGGGGACUGGAAUUCUCGGUGUAGCAGUGAAAUGCGUAGAUAUCGAGAGGAACACCAGUGGCGAAGGCGAGUCCCUGGACAACACCUGACACUGAGGCACGAAAGCUAGGGGAGCAAACAGGAUUAGAUACCCGGGUAGUC